CCACCUGGUCCAUUGGCAAAGCAAAAUCCAUCCCCAUUGUAUUGAGCUUUGCAAUCCGCUGCACAAUAUGGAAUGACACAACCUUUGUUAUCAAGUAUAGUUGUGCAUGUCUUUUUCCCAUUCACUUCAACAACUGCACCCAACACAACUGCAGAAAACAAGCUUCCACAUUUAAAUAUAUAUUUAUCCAAUAAAAUAAAUUUAUUAAGUUUAUUCCAAUAAAAAUACUGCAAUGUAUACCUGAUAGAAGAAGGAAAAGAACUAGAGAAAGUUUAGCCAUUAUACUUAAUUCACCCUUUC
rnacentral:lncRNA from 1 species